UGUGUCUCCAUCCGUCGAUUGAAACAAAAUGAUAUCAAGAAAUCCAUUGCUUUUAUCAUUAUACGUAUGUAGGUCUAGUUUUCAUUGAACAAACCAUCAAUCUUCAACAAGUUACAUAAUUUUACUGCAAUUUUCUCCCAAUUUUAUAAUGAAUCAAAGUAUUGUUAUCUUCUUUAACCACUUCAUCCAAAAGGAUGCACCUUUUAGCCAUUGCCAGAAAAGUCAUGGUCCCUUUGACAUGGUGCAGCUUCAGCUUACCAGUACCAGAAAGGCCACGCCCCUUUGACAUGGGGCAAGGGUGUGGAGGUCGAGUAUCAGGUUAGAAGGCACAGGUACCCCAGCUCAUUCACAUCAUAGAUAGGAGCCUGGUCAUACAGCUAUUGUUGGUGAGCUCCAGUUUGCUUCGAAGCUUUUCGAGUCGGUUUCUUAUGUUUUGCUAUUGUACAGGAGUCACGUGUGGGCGGGGGGGUGUCCCGACCCUAGUUAUGUCAUGUAUAUCCUAGAGGCUUUGUAGACAUAAGGAAGGGUAAAGUCAUGGAAGUUUAUAUAGUGAUGUUAUAUUUGUA